rnacentral:tRNA from 1 species
GUCAGGGUAGCUCAGUGGUAGAGCAGCGGACUCAUAAGCCGCUGGUCGCGGGUUCGAAUCCCGCCCCUGACA